rnacentral:rRNA from 1 species
GAUGAACGCUGGCGGCGUGCCUAACACAUGCAAGUCGAGCGAUUUACUUCGGUAAAGAGCGGCGGACGGGUGAGUAACGCGUGGGUAACCUGCCCUGUACACACGGAUAACAUACCGAAAGGUAUGCUAAUACGAGAUAAUAUGCUUUUAUCGCAUGGUAGAAGUAUCAAAGCUCCGGCGGUACAGGAUGGACCCGCGUCUGAUUAGCUAGUUGGUAAGGUAACGGCUUACCAAGGCGACGACCAGUAGCCGACCUGAGAGGGUGAUCGGCCACAUUGGAACUGAGACACGGUCCAAACUCCUACGGGAGGCAGCAGUGGGGAAUAUUCCACAAUGGGCGAAAGCCUGAUGGAGCAACGCCGCGUGCAGGAUGAAGGCCUUCGGGUCGUAAACUGCUUUUAUGAGUGAAGAUUAUGACAGUAACUCAAGAAUAAGGGACGGCUAACUACGUGCCAGCCGCCGCAGUAA